GUAUUCCUCACUGCCAGAGCCCCCCCCACCCAAAUGGCUGCCGUAAAAGCCAUUGGAGUUAGGCAUUCUCCUUGUAGGCUGAGACCAACCCAGGAAACAGAUCUCAAACAUCCCCAGGGCAGAGACUUCCCUAGUUUCCUGAAUGUAAUUUUCCAGAGUUGAAACUUUCCUCUCAAGCGGGGAAAAAGAACAUUUAUAUAGCUGCUGACGGCACACGCAGAACUAUUUCUGUCUAACCAGAAGCCACCUCAUCCCAGCCGUGGUCCCAGCACUAGCACAGGUAGAGACAGCAAGAUCAGGAGUUCCAGGUUGCCCCAAGCUACCUAGGGAAUUCAAGGCCAGCAUGAGACUGUCUCAAAUAUGUGCUCUCUCAGAGUUUCAGUGCUGGGUGGGCAUGGAGGAAAGGCCAAACUCUGAGAGCCAAGGCAGGUGGAAUGCUGGGUCUGCUCCUCCCCCUCCCCCUCCCCCUCCAGGUACAGGUCUGGGCAUAUGUGUGCAGCCCCUACAGGGUAGGGAACGUUCUGGAGGAAGGAGGCCCACGGGGACAAAGACACAUGACUCUCUGGACACCUGUGGGACAGAUGCCUGCAGGAGAGCCGUCCCUGGUCAGAGAGGCACAGAGGAGACAGAUGUGAACACCUGAGGCUGUGUGUCGGAUGGUGGUUCCUUUCAGCACCAGACCCCAGGGGGAUGCACUGUGGCACACGGCCUGCCUCAGAUGGAGCCUAGCCAAACCAAAGCCAAAAAGCCGAACCUCUUGCUGGACCCCAAUGCCUUCUGGGAGUACAGGUGGCAAGAGUUCAUGGCAGGAGGCCUGUGUGGCUGCCAACCAAUGGCGAGGAGCAGGGAGUGGUGUGCCCGGGGUCUGGCAGGACCCUGCAGAUCAGUGUAGAGUCCAUCUGCGCGACAGUAACAGCUCAGCGCUCAGACCGCGCCCAUGAGGGUAAAGGUGGUGACUUGGGCCCCUACUAACCAAGGGAACUGGUCAGCGAUGAUCCUCUUCCUCCCAGGUGGGAAGGGGCUAGAGACACCAAGAGCCCGGCGCUUCUCAGUAACUGCAGGGUAACUCUGUGUAGGGACAGUUUCAGGAGAAAGUCUUUAUGACUAUUCAGAUAUGUCUCUAUGAGAAAGGGGAAGUGGUCAACCCACGGACAACAUUGUCGCUGCCCCAGGAAGAGCAGACCAUGCCGAACUGGUGCCUGGGGGAGCAGGACACCCACUGCUAUGUAGGCAGGCAGGAAGGCUGUCCCCUGACUUCUGCGGGAGGGAGAUGCUGGUGGAGCAGGAGAAGAACUCAAACUCGCUCGAUGUGGCCCCCAGCCCGAGGGCAGCAGGCAGGUGGGCUUGCAACUUCUUCUGGAAUGGCCAGGUGGAGGCUGCCUUUGCCUCCCCAGAAGGAGGGGAGAGUUCACGGAAUUCUAGACUCGAUAAGCUCUCUCUCUCUGGCUAUGACCCGUGAGCAGCUGAGCCAGGGAGUUGUAGGAAAUCCACGUCCUUCGUCAGGAUGAAAUUCCAAGCAUUCUUCAUCCACUGUGUGUUUUCCAGUUGAUGUUGCCUCCAACCAACCACAACAACCUUCGCUGAGGAACAGAAUACAGGGUAGGCCAUAUUUCAAAAGGCACAGGAAGCGUCUGCUGGACAUAGAUCCUCACUGGGGCUGGGUAGUGUGGGGAAACCAUGGUGGGGAAGUCUGGGGGUUUGGGGGAGGGGAGGGAGGAAGCAAGCAGGAGAUGCUCACUAUGCCCAACCCUGACAAGGCAUUGUGCAUGCAGCACAUAGUAGGGCACCUGGGCUGGAGAAAUUGGACUGUGAAGCAGGAGGUACAAGGAGAUAGGUCUCAGAGACAUGAGAGUUCUUGAUGCAAUGUCACCUGACAAUCUGACCCAGAGCUCCUUGUGGACACCACAAGACAAAGCAGAGCUAGUCAGUUCCGAGCGAGGGAUCCGAGGGAGAACGGAAGCUGGAGCUGAUGCUGCAGGCCCAGGGUAGCCCUCCCUGCCGCUGAGCCCUACGAACACCCUUCACUCCAUGCCCUAGGGUCCCCAAGCCCUCAGCUCUUAAUAGGGAUCGUGAAGCAUGUGGACUGAGAGGGAGGGGAAGGUAGAUGAAUGGUCACACCAUGGUCUAACUGGACGUGCCUGCUUUGUUGGGAUAGGACUUUCACAGCCUCUCUGAACCUCAGAAUACAGCAGGGAUGAGACCCUCAGCUUCUGGUCCUCUGCCAUCCUCCCAGUUAGCCCUGCCAUGCACCAGACCCCACGAGUUCUCACUGCUCCCAGUUCCCAGCUGGCCCUCCCCAGUCCUAGAGCUGGCAUGGGCCAGGAAGCUACUCGAGUCUCCUCCCUUCCUGAGAGUGACAUGGGGACAAGGCCUCGAUCAGGCUGAGUCCAAGUGCUCUCACUUCUGGUGCCCAGCAGGCAUCCAAGAGGAUCUAUGAUGCUCUUGGCUUCACCCACCACUUGUGAUCUAAAAGUGAGUCCUGGGCACAACCUUGGGUUCACAACUGCCUUCUCCUUACUCCUUGUAACCUGUCACCCUCACUACCUCCAUCAUCACCAUAUUUUGCCUGCCAAGCAACAGCAGAUCUCAGUACAGCAGAAACAGACUUUAGCUCCCCACGCUCAUGGUCUGAAUGUGCCAGGGAAGGAGAGACACCCUCCCCCUCCAACCUCCUUACCACAAGGGAACCAAGACUUUGCAGGUCGUUUAGAAACAUGGUUAAUGAAGUUUAUAAGGGAAAUAUUUAUGAACCCUCUUGGGGUUUUUCCAUUUCCCUGAUUUGUCACGACCAGCUGUGAGUCAUUGGUCACCAACAGCUGUGUUAACCAGGCCCUAACUUUCCUCAGCCAAGCAUGAAACCUGCUGUCCAGAACCCCACUUGUCAUAAUAGCCCAGUGUCAGCUUCUCAGCCAGUCACGGUUAAGCGCCAAGCACAGGUGAGCACUAUUUACGGGUUCUAAACCCAGGGGCCCACCCAGGUGGGUCAAGUUGACCUCACUUCAGGUCAGCUCCUGCCACAGGUGAGCACUGUUCACAGUAUCUAAGCCCAGGGCCCACCUGGGUGCUGCAGGCUUCACUUCUGGUGGCUUCUGCCGAUGCUUUGCUGCAGGUUGCUAUCCCAGCUCAUACCUUGGCUAUCCAACCGUACUCAAGGAGCCCACAUCUGUCCCGCAGUCAUGCUGUAUUUUGCAAUGCAGCCUCAUUAUCUCCUUGAGGUAGUUCAUGGCUUCUAAUUGCCUGAACUCUGUGGGAGACCCGCAUUCCAAGAACCUAGGAUCAGCCCACUGCGAGGGGAGAUGCCUCUUGAAUGACACACACUACUUUGCCCUGACCCUGGUGGUGACAAAGCCUUUCCAUGUGUUAUCUCAUUUGAUUCUCACAAAGCUCUAUAAAUGCGAGGCACUGAGACAGUCACCUAAGGAAGCAUGGUGGGAAUCACUCACAGUCAGUAACCCAUCACAGUCUGCUAACCCAGAUCCUAGGCUGGUAGUGACCAUGCACACCACCCUGGCCUACAAUGGUUACAACAUCUGCUGUAUUCAUUUCUUCAAAAAUCAUCCUUAAAGUCACAGAAUCCCCACGCCCAGAGACUUCCAGUGACUGGGAUGACAUGACAAUGGAUUUCUUAUGGACUGGUCCCUCAAGGGCCAGUGAGACGGCUUCUGGGCAAACCUAAUAGCCUGAGUCUGAUCCCUGGAUCCCACAGCAGAAAGAAAAAAGAAAAUCUGCCCUCUUAUGUCCACAUACACAGCACGGCAUGCAUGCGUUGGCACACAGGGCCGCACGUAUAUGACUACACUUACACAAUGAUAAUGGUGAAUAUAUAAAAAAAUAAAAAUAGAAUCCUCAAGUUUCAUCCACCUUCUGGUUUGGUCAGGAUCCUUCCUCUGUGAGGCUGAGUUACACGGGGCAGAUUGGGUAAUUCAUCUAUGUAUCCAUUGAGAAAUAGUUGCCAGAUUGGCUUAUUCAACUAUGUAUCCUUUGAGAAAUAGUUGUCUCUUCGCUUUGGCUACUGUAAAUACUGCUGCUAUAAAUAGAACCGUGCAAAUCUUCUUACCUCUUUGCUGUCUCCAGAGCUUUUUGCAAUAUGCCUCAAGUGAAAUCGAUAGAGGGUACAGAAAUUCUAUUUUUAGUUUGAGGAACCACUGUGCCGUUUACACGACAGAUGUCCUGUUUUACAACCCCACCAGCAGCCCGCAGUGCCACAGGUGUAUUUCCAAGGAAGUCCCGGGAACAUGAGCCUGAAUGUGCAAGCCACAGUAUCAAGAGAAGAGAAAUUAGGCUGCACUAAGUUAAAAAGGCCCCCUGUGUCGGAAAGGAAUCUGUCAACAGAGAGAAGAAACAACCUGCUGAAACAACCAGGAGGAAAUAUCUGGGAGCUAUGCAGACAAGCUGCUGCUAUCUGACACAGCAAGGAGGUCAAGCAGGGCCACAGGUCAAACAACCCCAGUGAAAACAGGGAAGGACCUCUGUGGACAGUUCCCAGAAGAAAACACAGACAGGCAGGGGAGGGGGAAGGGGUGGUGGUGGUGAUAAAAGACUCACCAAGGAAAUGCAAACCCAAACUGGCAACUUGCCUAUACCUGCUAGGGCGGUAACAAUGAAAAGACACAGAAAACAAGUGUUGGCAAGGAUGCAGACAAAAGAGAACUCUUGUAUACUCCAGGCUGGAUGCAAAUUCCUAUAGUCAUUAUGGAAAUUUUUUAUGGAAGUUCCUCAGAAGAAACAAAAAAGCCAACUACAGCCAGUCAGCUACUGUGUGGUCCCACCAUCCCUUUCACUGAGCUUAUAUCGGAAGGAAAUAAAACAAUACACUAGAGA